AGGAGGAACAGUCCCAGUGGCGGGGCAGCUCUGGAAACCUGGAUUCAGCUCCGGCAGGAACUCCGUCUGCAGGGCCUGGAGGCUCCGGGGCGGG
rnacentral:pre_miRNA from 1 species